rnacentral:rRNA from 1 species
UACGUAGGUGGCAAGCGUUGUCCGGAUUUACUGGGCGUAAAGAGCGCGCAGGCGGUCGUUCAAGUCGCGUGUGAAAGCCCCCGGCUCAACUGGGGAGGGUCACGCGAUACUGAUCGACUCGAAGGCAGGAGAGGGAAGUGGAAUUCCCGGUGUAGUGGUGAAAUGCGUAGAUAUCGGGAGAACACCAGUGGCGAAGGCGACUCCUGGCCUGUUCUUGACGCUGAGGCGCGAAAGCUAGGGGAGCAAACGGGGAUUAAGAA